rnacentral:rRNA from 1 species
UUUAAAUUUAAAUUAGAAUUUUAUUUUUUAGUCAAAAAGCUAAAAUUUUAUUAAAAGACGAGAAGACCCUAUAAAUCUUUAUAAUUUUUUUUAAUUUAAUUUUUUAAGAUAAAUUUUAUUAUAAUAAAAAAAAUUAUUUUAUUGGGGUGAUAUUAAAAUUUAAAUAACUUUUAAUUAUUUAAAUUACAUUAAUUUAUGAAUUGUUGAUCCAUUAUUAAUGAUUAAAAAAUUAAGUUACUUUAGGGAUAACAGCGUAAUUUUUUUGGAGAGUUCUUAUCGAUAAAAAAGUUUGCGACCUCGAUGUUGGAUUAAGAGAUAUUUUUAAUGCAGAAGUUAAAAUAUAAAGUCUGUUCGACUUUUAAAUUCUUACAUGAUCUGAGUUCAAACCGGUGUAAGCCAGGUUGGUUUCUAUCUUUAAUUUUAUAUAAUAUUUUAGUACGAAAGGAAUUUAUAUUAGAAAAAUUUUUUAUAAAAAGAAU